CAUUUUCAGUGUCUUCCAGUGCUGCAAACACUCGGACAUUCCUGCUGCACUCAUACCUGUAUGGACAUCUAUUGGCUGUGUCUGCAUUACUCUGUGAAAAAGGGAGAAAUAGCUCACAUCAGUGCGUUUAAUUCUACAAGAAUUUUAUUCUAUCCCAUUCCAUCUUCUUUUUGGGAUAUUGGAAAGCUGCUGCACAUGCAAGAAAAGAGAUCUGGAUUUCACAAAUGAUUCCAGCUGGAUGGCUACUUCAGAGGGAGACCAGGAGAAACACCGCUGUGAAAGGCCAUGUGAUUAACGUGCAGUAAGACAUCCAGACUGUGCACUUUGACUGCAGGGAGGAUAUGGCCUUCCAUGAGAGGAAAGAUUCCGGUUCAUUUUACUGUGUGUAGGAAGUGGAUUUAUGCAGUGCUAUCGGUAGACAGGGAGGCAAGCACUGCUUCCUUGCUGACGACAGAAGUAUGUGAAACUGCUGUAAUCUGAUCACUAAAAACGAGUGGAAGACUGGUGAUGGGAUGAGCAGUAAAGCAGCAUCGUGGUUCAGAAGUGGCAGCCGAGACAUCCCCACACCUCUGCUGCAGUGAAGAAAUUAGGUCAGUCUGUCACCUCGGACAAGGAUCCUAGAAGUCAGCUACAUCAGUGCCUUUGGCUGGGAUUUCUCUUUACUGCCUUAAGCAACUAAAUAUUUUGCUUCACUCCAAGCUUGAUGACACUGAUGGUCUGCCAUGAGUCAGACACUGAGGGCUUUCCUUAUUUCCUCCUCAUGGUGAAAUGAACAAAGGACAUCAGGAUUUGGCAUGCUUCCCAUGUUCAUCUCCUGCUCGAAGGCACCGCAGCAUGGACACACAGUCAUAGAUAGAACUACAAUGGAGGGAACUGUUUCACCUCUCUUAUUUGGCCUUACAGAUUUAUGAUUUAGGCAUUGAAUCAGUUCCAGCUGAAUUCAACAGCACAACUCCCAUAGGUUUUAAUAAGAAUAUCAGGGCUUUCCUAAUUAAUGUAAUAAUCGUAUAUUACUGGCACGACAACUGAUAUAGUAGCCUUUUAAGAAGCCUUUAAAAAAAACUCAAACAAUUCCACUUGCUUUUUGAGAGUGCUACAUAGCAAGUACACACACCACAUGUAAACAGACAGCAAGAGAUAUUUCAGCAUUUCAGGUGAAAAGCAAAAGGUUUUCCACAAAUUGUACAAGAGUUGCUUGAAAGUUUUGGAGCCAAGCUAAGUUUUUCAGAGACCACGAUCUGUAUGUUCAGCUGUUUGAAUCUCAGCCUGUGGCUAACCACUAUCUCUUCUCCAGGGAGAAGCCUGGAAGAACUUCUACCAUAGGAAGUAUACAAAUCCUGGUUUUACUCAAAAUCCUACUUUCUCAUAGCAGCAGCAUUCUACUCAAUCAGCAUUCUACUCAGUACUAUCAAGAGAAAAGAGACAUAGCAAUUGGUAUGAAAUUUGAACUCCUGUUUUUUCUGCCACCUGUGCUAAAAAGAAAAUUCUUCCAGACAAUGAAUGUUUCCUAAUUUCCCACCCACAUAUGCCCAGAAUUUCCUCUUGUUCUCCAGUUGCUGGCAAAAGAAAUACUCUCACAUCCCAUUAAGUGCUGAAAUAGAGUCCUAUUUCUGGCACAUAUCUGUGGAAUUAUACCAGAAAAGUCAGGAUGAACAAAUUUGCCCCCUUAUGGUGACAUCUUCCAUAUCAAAUCUUCUAUUUCACUUAAUUAUGAAUAUUUUCUUCACAGAACUGAAAAUAACAUUGUUAGGAUUGUAUUCUUUCUUCCACUGGUACUUUCCACAUUUUGCCCAGUGAGACAACCACUUGCAAUUCCCUGCUGCUUUUCAACCUAACACAGGCCAGUAUGUCCUUCUAAAGGAGUUAGAUCCAGCCUCAUCUGUUAAGUAUCAGAUAAAUCCUGUCUGACACUAAACACUUCUAUACAGGUCUAUAAUAAAGCAUGGCAAUUCUGUGGUGCAGGGCCACUACAGAGCCUAAAUUAUAGGAUGUAGGCCAGUUUCUCAUCCAUGGGCUUCUGGCAAGAGCCAGAAAGUUAAAACUCAAAGCUAAAUGUGUAGAAAAGACUUCUGGAGAAAACAGUGAUGGAUUUGCUGAUGCUGUAUAACACUGUACAUCUUUUCUGGGUGACAGAAACUUCAUAAAGCUCAGCAGAACAAAUGCAAGGUACUUCCCAUUGGACAGACAGAGGGCCCUGUAAGGUGGGGUCUGGCUAGAGUGAGAGCAGCUCUGCAGGGCAGGAUCUGGGGUGAAGUUUUUGAACACGAAUCAGCAGUGCGCCCUUGAGGUAAUGAAAGCUAACCACAUGCUAGGCUGCAUUAGCAAGAGAGCAGCCAGCAGCUGGAGGGAAAUGGUUAUUCCCUUUCAAUUGGCAUUUGCGAGGUCACGUUUGGCAUAAUGUAUAAUGUCCAGUUUUGGGUUUCACCCUGAGAGACAUUGGUAUGCUAGACUAAGUCCAAUGGAGGGCCACAAAGACAGUGGUGUAAGGCAUUCAAGGACAAGCUGAGGAAACUGAGUUUGUCCAGCCUGAAGAAGCAACGUGUGGCUAGGAGAGGGAGCUUUGAUGGUAAUCUUCAACUUCAUGAAGUGAUGUUACAAACAAGACAGAGCCAGUCUUCUCUCAGAAGCAUGAAGCUAAAAGGCAAACAUCAGUGGUCAUGAGCUGUAGCCAGGGAAAUUCUCAUCAAAUAUAAGAAGGAAAAAAAACAACACAAAACAGAGCAGGGAAGGGUGGUCAAAAACAGCCAGAGAGGUUGUGGAAUCUCCAUCCUCAAAAAUUUUCAGUGUUUGACUGGAGAAAGCCAUGAGCAACCUCAUCUGACUUUCAAGUUUGUCUGACUUUAAGCAGAGGGUUGGACUAGAUGACCUCCAAAGGUUAUUUCCAGCGUAAAUUAUUCUGUGAUUCUAUAAAUAAGGUAGAGGUUGUAAGGAAAAGGUCCUAAAUCAGAUUCAGGAGUGGCAUGAGCCUUUCCUGUGUUGAGAGAUCAGGCCUGCAGGCUGUUAAUACCACUGACCUCCUAAGGCUGAAUGAUUGAAAACCACUGUUGGAUGCAGCAGAGCAUGUGUUCCUGGCAUAGCGCUUGCAUUGAGCCCUACCCAAGUUUCUGUAAGCAAUGGCUUUAUCUGGGCGGAGUGCUGUCACUCAGGCACUUUUCCCUUCAUUUUUCCCUCACUUCUUGUCAUCAGAAUACAUGAAAUCCAGUUUGUUAAAAGAACUCACCAAACAUUCACACUCCAAGAACAGGAGUGUGAUUUUUGCAAGAAUUUUAACUUUCUUGUAACAUUUUCAUUUCUCAGAAAAUCUCUUGUGCCUUUGGUAACCAAAGUAUUGCACAGGUAAAAUGUACCAAUCACACACAAAUUCCUACUGCUUGCCUGAAUAAGAGCAAUCGAUAGGAAAAAAAAAAAAAAAAAGACUCAUACUAGAAAUCUCUGUUUCUAUUAGUUGAAGUGAUUCUAUGGGAGAUAAACAAAGAUUCACAUUUUAACAAUUCAGGUGACCUCAGAAAGACUGAAGUGACAACAUUUUUUUAUGGCGGAUAGUUUAAACUAGUGAGAUGUUCGCUCUACUAACUAAUAAAAAUGAAGUUUUGAUACGU
ensembl:lncRNA